GACAGAGGUGCCAAGCGUUAGGCGGAAUCACUGGGCUUAAAGCGUGUGUAGGUGGAUUUGUAAGUACCUUGUGAAAUCCCACGGCUCAACCGUGGAACUGCUCGGUAUACUGCGAAUCUUGAGCCACUUAGGGGCUACCGGAACAAAUGGUGGAGCGGUGAAAUGCGUAGAUAUCAUUUGGAACGCCGAUGGUGAAAACAGGUAGCUGGGAGUGUGCUGACGCUGAGACACGAAAGCCAGGGGAGCGAACGGG
rnacentral:rRNA from 1 species